GAUGAACGCUGGCGGCGUGCUUAACACAUGCAAGUCGAACGGAAAGGCCGAAGCUUGCUUCGGUACUCGAGUGGCGGACGGGUGAGUAACACGUGGGUGAUCUGCCCUGCACUUUGGGAUAAGCCUGGGAAACUGGGUCUAAUACCAGAUAGGACCACGUCUUGGAUGGUGUGGUGGAAAGUUUUUUCGGUGUGGGAUGAGCUCGCGGCCUAUCAGCUUGUUGGUGGGGUAAUGGCCUACCAAGGCGUCGACGGGUAGCCGGCCUGAGAGGGUGUACGGCCACAUUGGGACUGAGAUACGGCCCAGACUCCUACGGGAGGCAGCAGUGGGGAAUAUUGCACAAUGGGCGCAAGCCUGAUGCAGCGACGCCGCGGGGGGGAUGACGGCCUUCGGGUUGUAAACUCCUUUCGCCAGGGACGAAGCGUAAGUGACGGUACCUGGAUAAGAAGCACCGGCUAACUACGUGCCAGCAGCCGCGGUAAUACGUAGGGUGCGAGCGUUGUCCGGAAUUACUGGGCGUAAAGAGCUCGUAGGUGGUUUGUCGCGUCGUUUGUGUAAUACCGCAGCUUAACUGCGGGGUUGCAGGCGAUACGGGCAUAACUUGAGUGCUGUAGGGGAGACUGGAAUUCCUGGUGUAGCGGUGGAAUGCGCAGAUAUCAGGAGGAACACCGAUGGCGAAGGCAGGUCUCUGGGCAGUAACUGACGCUGAGGAGCGAAAGCAUGGGUAGCGAACAGGAUUAGAUACCCUGGUAGUCCAUGCCGUAAACGGUGGGCGCUAGGUGUGAGUCCCUUCCACGGGGUUCGUGCCGUAGCUAACGCAUUAAGCGCCCCGCCUGGGGAGUACGGCCGCAAGGCUAAAACUCAAAGGAAUUGACGGGGGCCCGCACAAGCGGCGGAGCAUGUGGAUUAAUUCGAUGCAACGCGAAGAACCUUACCUGGGCUUGACAUGCACCGGAUCGCUGCAGAGAUGUAGUUUCCCUUGUGGCUGGUGUACAGGUGGUGCAUGGUUGUCGUCAGCUCGUGUCGUGAGAUGUUGGGUUAAGUCCCGCAACGAGCGCAACCCUUGUCUUAUGUUGCCAGCAUUUGGUUGGGGACUCAUGAGAGACUGCCGGGGUUAACUCGGAGGAAGGUGGGGAUGACGUCAAAUCAUCAUGCCCCUUAUGUCCAGGGCUUCACACAUGCUACAAUGGUCGGUACAACGCGCAGCUACUUCGUGAGGAGGCGCUAAUCGCCGAAAGCCGGCCUUAGUUCGGAUUGGGGUCUGCAACUCGACCCCAUGAAGUCGGAGUCGCUAGUAAUCGUAGAUCAGCAACGCUGCGGUGAAUACGUUCCCGGGCCU
rnacentral:rRNA from 1 species